UCGUCUCCCUCUCUGCUCUCUCUCUCUCUCUCUCUCCCCGUUUCUCUCUCUGCUACCCAAUUGAUUGGAGGAGCAUAUCAACAUUUUUGUGAUCAGAAAGGAAGUCCGAGAAUAUGCAUUAUUCACGAAUCCUUGGCUACACUUUAUACAAGAAAAACUCCGGCUUUAUCUUCUCUUCGGUUCCUUCAUAGCACCGUUGGAUCUCCUCCACAAUGCCUCUACAGAACUCAUGGAUGGACAAGAUCAAAUGAGUAUUCACCGGCGAAAAGGCCUCCGAUGAAGGACCCUAAAUCACCUCCGAGUCUUUCACCCUUCUCCGCUUUGCGGAUGAAUUGAAGAACGCGAGAAGAGUAGGAUCUUUCAAGCAAUUUAUGGUGGGUAGAAGCAGUGAAGCGACAUUUUCGGAUGUUUUUGAGAAACAGGAAGCUAUAAUUCGAUAUCUUGGAGGCUUUGAUGCCACUGUUGAGAUUUUAAUGUUUUGUAGAAUCUCCAAAGCAAACACAAGCAAGAAGCAGCAAAGAAUUGUAAUUGCAUGAUUGCCGAUGUUGAGAAUGCUGGCUGAGACCGGAUCUGAAGUACAUGAAGCAGUACUAUGAUGUUGAACUCACUGCUCUGGGGAUGGCUAUUCCAACUGUUGUCAUGAUUUCUGAGAUUCUAAAACGCAAUGGACUGGCAAUUCAAAAGAAUUGAGACUCUGCUUGGGCAAGCUGAUAAGCUGGAGGAGAGCUCGGCUGUUGCUGCAACAUCAAACUAAGAAGGCUGCUGAUUUACUAGCUUCAGAUUUUUAGCAGAAACCAACAGGAGUUAUAAUUCUGGGAUCAAAAAGUUUCUGAUUUUCUGUUUCCUUGUAAAAUUUGAAUGCGAAUUGGAGAUGCUAUUAGUAGUAUAGUCAAGUGAAUUAGACUAGAGUAGACAUUCUGAUAGAACAAAUGUCCUUCUUAGUGCUGCCAUUUCUGUUCUGAUCGGAGUAGACAUUCUGGGAUCAAAGUUUCUGAUGUCUGUUUCUGCCAUUUCUAGUUGGCACGAUAGUACAUAAAUAAA